GAAAUGCGAUAAGUAAUGUGAAUUGCAGAAUUCAGUGAAUCAUCGAAUCUUUGAACGCACAUUGCGCCCGCCAGUACUCUGGCGGGCAUGCCUGUUCGAGCGUCAUUUCAACCAUCAAGCCCCCGGCUUGUGUUGGGGACCUGCGGCUGCCCGCAGGCCCUGAAAAACAGUGGCGGGCUCGCUGUCACACCGAGCGUAGUAGCAUACAUUCUCGCUCAGGGCGUGCUACGGGUUCCGGCCGUUAAACGACCUUCAUAACCCAAGGUUGACCUCGGAUCAGGUAGGAAGACCCGCUGAACUUAAGC
rnacentral:misc_RNA from 1 species